CGCCUCAUGGACAGGAUGAGCAGCACCAGCACUGCCGGGAACACAAAGAACGGCCCGUGUCAGCCCCCAGGAACGCGUUAUUAAACACGGGGACAGGAAGGGUUCAGAGUGGCAGCCAGCAUCACCAACUUCCUGAAGAACCUGCUCAUUUUCACAAGCUCAUUUGAACUCCAGGUCAUAGAACACACCCACACCUUGUGACUUCUCCUGCCCUGUGGGCUGAGUCUAGACUGCUGUGGAAUAUUAUUUUAAGCUCUGCAAGGAUGAGUGGAAAGAGUGACACCUAGCUGCAAAGUUGAAGAAAACCUUGACGGCCCAGCUCCUCUCACCCCAGGGUCUCCGUCAUACAGCCAACCCUGAGGAAGAUGAAGCUGUCUUUUAUAGGGAGGACUUUCCUAUGA